rnacentral:rRNA from 1 species
GCCUCAAUUAUAUAUGAUUACCCGCUGAACUUAAGC